GGAAGGAUCAUUAUCAGUUCAUGGCUGCGCAUGCUGCAUGUGCAAUCCAAGAUAAACCACUCUGCGUAUUUUUCCUGUUGCUUCCAUGGGGCAUGGUGCUUGCGCCACCCCGCCGGCACGGUCCUCGAGGCCGCCGCCGUCGGGGAGUCCUCAUGGAAGGUCACCCAGCAAACCUCUUGCCUCCUCAUGAUUUCCGUCUGAAUGUGAUAUAUCGAAAAGUUAAAACUUUCAACAACGGAUCUCUUGGUUCUUGCAUCGAUGAAGAACGCAGCGAAAUGCGAUAAGUAGUGUGAAUUGCAGAUCUCAGUGAAUCAUCGAAUCUUUGAACGCACAUUGCGCCCCUCGGCAUUCCGGGGGGCAUGCCUGUUCGAGCGUCAUCAAAACCACCUCAAGGCAUUUUAUGUUCUUGGUCCUGAAGGUUGAUUGGUUCGAUUUGCCACUCACCUUCGAAAUGAAUCGGCGGAUUGCAAUCGUCAACGAGUGUAAUAACAUUUACCAUUCAUGAGUCGAUCGUUGCACAUCUUGCCGUUGACCCCCAAACGUUUCCAGGUUGACCUCGGAUCAGG
rnacentral:rRNA from 1 species